UUUGGCGGAAAAAACACAAUUUUUGUUUUUUGACGGAAAAACUUUAUUCUUAGUUUUGGAGCAAAAACUCAAUUUUGCGAUUUUGGGAGGAAAACUUUUGAUUUGAUGCUCAACAAAUUGGCGGAAAGAAUCAUAUCAUAUCUUAAUUUUUCUAGUUUUAUCUUUAAAAUUUAAGAACAAAAAUAAAUGAAAUAUUUUUUUUCAAUUAAAUGAGUUAACCCUGGUACCAACCCUAACCCUUGAUUAUAAUAGGAUUAAAAUAGGGUUGGGUUUAUAAUAAACAAAAGAGGGUUGAGCCCUAACCCUGUAAUUAACAUCCCUAAUUAUCCCCACUACUUUUGCUUCAUUGCUUUUUUACUUCGUUUUCAUCGUCGCUCAUGCCGAUAUAUGGAGUCGUUUUGCGAGGCUUCACCGAGAAUCCAGCUCUCGAUUCUUAAUUAGAAAACCUAAAUCGUUUUAAGUGAGCUCCGAGGAUGGCAAAUCAACAGUUCAAUUUAUUUGAGCUCAAGGCUGGCCUCUGCAGGCAUAGUGUUGUCAGGAGACUUUUCCAGUUCUGGAAAGCUCAAAAUGUGAAGAGUUGAUGGGCUUCAUCUGGUACUGCUAGAAAGGAAGAAUGGUUCGCAGUCCACUUUGAUUCAUCUCUGAAUCAGUGUCCAUCGGCUCAAUACUUUCAGAAACAUUUUGAAGCAAGGCAGGCUGUAUGAUCUAAGUGGGUUUGAUGUAACAAAGACCAACCAAAGCUUUUGCCGUUCAGACUCCCCUGUAUCAAUCAAUUCGUUUUACAGACACAGACAAAAUUUCAUGAGUUUCCUGAGAACAAUGGAACUCUUCAGGUUCCGGGAUUACGAUCAUCCAAUGUUGUUGGCUAACACAAACACUGACUUGCAAGAUAUUGUUGGUGACCUGUUUUGGAAUUAAACUACCUACAAUGAAGAAACCCAUUAAACGGAGAGUAUUAAGGCAACAAUACGCAUUCUAAGGGAGGCAAACGUUUGUCUUAGUAUUUUUGACAAUCUUGCUAUGCAACUCCUUGAUAAGUUGGGUUAUCCAUAGGGAUGUUAACUACAGGGGUUUCUUUUCCUAAACCCAGCCUCAGUAACCCUUUUCUACUUUUCCGGUAAGUGUGAGGCCAACACAAGUUGCGUCAAGGGGUAAGAGUUUAUGCAUUUAACAUUUUUGUCAUUUUUGUAAAGGUCCUAUUAUGUUUAGACCCAUCGUUUUUCCUUUUAUUCAUGUUGGUGAACAUUGAUGAGGGUUUCUUCCUCUUCACCCAAAAAAUUUACAGUUGUCAAGAAGUUAGAAUCAUUGACUGUUUAGGAACUGAAUUCAUUUGUCCUCAACUCCCCUCCGCAGGUAAACCUUUGUAAUGAAACCCAUCCUGCUUACUAGCUUCCUCUGUCACACUACUGUUGCUGUCAAUACCACUUGAAAUCACUGCAGAAGUGCAGGUUGAAGACCUCCCAUGAGAAAGGGGUAUGGUCCGUGUCCGGCUGUAAGAGACGACAUUCCUUUCGAGGAGUCUCGUGUUGAAGAUUGUGGACCUCUGCAAAGAAGCCACGUAAUGGUUGAACUCCUGAAGAUCGAAGUGAAAGUUGGAGUUCUGGUUUCACAACUGCUUCUUUUACCUUUAAUUCCCAGCGUUUAAUAAGUUGUCACUGAACUAUAUUGCAAUGUUUUCUGCUCAUUUUUUGUUUUUUUUUAUAAAUCAGCCUUACUAAUUUCUCGACUGCAAGGCAGUAUUUUAAACCCUUAUUAAAUUGUUAUAAUGUUAUGAAUAUUAGUGCCAAUUAUUUCAUAUAAUGUUUCAAUUAAGCACUAGGUUUGCCUGGAAUAUUAUUCUUAUUUCCUUUUGACAACCUUCAUUUUUCAGGUCCAUGUAACAUUUUCUUAUUUCCUUUUGACAACCUUCAUUUGUCAGGUCCAUGCAACAUUUUCUUUAUUCCUUUAAGAUUGUCGCACUUAGGGCAAAACAAUGUCAUCUAUAUUAAUGUCAAAUCCUUUACACAUAGUUUUCAGGCAUUUUUACUGGCUUUGAGGUAAAACGUGGUAUUUAAAAUUCUGCUUGGAAGAUUGAAAACCAAAAUAGAUUAGUUUGCAAUUUAUGUUACUAUGACAAACAAAUGAGGAAAUUUUCACACUUCUAAUAGCCCCACUCUUCCCAUUUAAAAAUAAGUAACUUCAAAAUAAACUAAUAAAGUAAUACACUACGGUCGCUAGCCACUAUCAAAAGGAUCGGAAAAAAAUAUUUUCUCUUUCAACAUAUUUUCAUCUCCAUAUUCUUAAACAAAUUUUUUUUACUAAAACCACAAAAUAAAUUGUAAAUUUAUUUAAAAAUAAAACAUACGAACCCGGCGCGUAGCGCCGGAAAACUACUAGUAAGAGAAAUAAAAUUAAGAAAAUAAAAGAGAAGAGUAUUGGUUCUUUGGUGUUGAGCUGCUUUCAAUAAUGGCAAAGCCAAAAAUCAGAUCAAGAAUGAGUAGGAGGAGAUAGAAAGAGAAUCAAUGCUGCUUGAGAAUAAUUUCACACAAAAAAAUAGUCGAAUUUAAUUUGUAAAUGAUUGCAAUUCUGCCCCCAAUAAUAUUCCAAAUUUCCAAACAAGCAACUCUCUAAUUCUUGUUUUUUUUUUUUUGAGCAACGUCACUCUCUAAUUCUAAAAUAGUAAAAUUAUGCCAACAUUUCCCUAAAUGUGUAUUCACACUCUUUUAACUAUGUUCCUUUCUUGUGCUUUCAAUGUACCGCCUCUAUCGUUUCUCGAACGACCAGUACAUAGUUUAUAUUCGUUUUCCCUUUUUAAUAAGUUGAUGUUCUGAAUGGAUCCAACCUAUAGUAAUCACGGGUGUGUCGUCAAUUAUAUAUGUAGAAGCGUUUGAUGCUGCACGAGCACAUGCCACUACAGUCAUAUGCUGUGCAAACCCUUAUGUCUAUGCGAUUCAACAAACUGUAUUCUUUCAACCAAAAAAAAAAAUCAAUAGAUGCAUAUAUGAGUCCGUCACCUCUUAGAAGGUACUUUUGGUUUAGUUGGAUCUCCUCUUUCGAACCAUAAUUAAUAGAUGCAUUCAUGAGUUCAUGUUAAUUAAGUACUAAAUUAUGCAAGUACAUAUGCUAUCCAAGAAUCAAACUGCAUAUGAUAUCAACGGCAUAACAAUAUUGGGGGAUAUCAAGAACAAGAAGGAAACAAUAUUUUUUUAAAUGCCGAGCUUUUAAGUAUGAUUGUAGCCUCUAAGUAUAUGCCGGCCAACUCUGGUAACUAACACAGUAGUCAAACUUCCGAUUGCACUUUAAUUAUCGCAGUGACCAUCAUGCUCGCACCAUUUACAUUUAUACUUAGUGAUUGUUUUGCUUUAACUUUCAACUUAGGCAAAAAAAACAUGAAUCUGAUCUGUAAAAAUAGUACUGAAACCGAAACUGGUUAAAUAUCUGAAUGUGUUCAAAAAUUUAGUAUCAAUAAAACCGGAACUGAAUCCAAUCCGAACUAAAAUAUUUUAAGUAUCAGAAUAUAUCUGAAUCAGAUUUAUAUACUUAAAUAUAUAUAAGUUAUGUUGGAUUUAAUAUCCAAAAAAUAUUCAGAAUAUAUAAUAUAUUUUUAAAUUUUCCAAAAUAUUUAAAAAUAUAUACUAAUGGUGAAUAGUAAAUAUC